AAGAGAAGAACUCAUAGAUGAGUUGUUCGACCAGUUUGGUUUACCGAAAUUCACUUUUGUCAAUCACCUGAGGCUCACGCUUGAGGAGAUCUUACAAAAAUCAAUCAUCACCCAGCUGCCUUCUUUAGUGAGGGCUUUCACUUCAUUAGUGCGAGGCUUUUUCACAAGUAGGAUUCCAUUGGAUUUUCAAUUCUUUCUUGACUUCUUGGAUGAGAAUUGUUACAAUAGGCUUUGUAUGGAAAAUGCUGUCAAUCAUCCAGUUCUUCUUAACAAAGAACAACGGAUUUCAUAUAGGUCAGAAUUCCAGUUGAUGUGUGAGGAUCUGAAGCUCUCUAAAUAUGAUCAUUUCUACAUCAUAAGAACGUUACAAUAUGUAAUUCGUUGUAGAAAUGCAUCCUACUGUUGGACACACACUCUGAAUCAACGACAUCCGCCGUCUAAGACUGAGGACUGGAUCCAACAUGCAUUUAAGGAUCGUAAAUGCACAGAAACGUACACAGAUGAUGCAAUGUCCUUUGUGAGGUUUUGCAGACACAGUAACAUAAACAAGAUAAGUAGUCUACUUAUGUUUGAGUUAAAUGCGUGUGGAUGCAUAUAAAAUGUUUGGUUAGUCAUGUAUAUGCAAUUUUAUUAAUGUUUAUUAUUUUUUUGUAGGCUAGUAAAUGUCAGAGGGACACUCUGGAAGAGGAAUUAACGCUAUUUUGGCCUGGUUUUCUUUCUCUGCUCCAUGAGGCUGCUAGUAAGUGUGGACACCAUAUCAACCAGCGGAUGGCGAACAUGAGUUUCUAGGAAUCUCGAGUAAUCUUGUAAACCUUUUGAGUGUAGGAGUUGGUUUUCGUGGGUGCAAAAUGUAGGCCAAUAACAAUUGUGUAGAUGACUUCUUUGUAAUUUGGGGAGAUUACGGGGCCUGAAUUUUCUGUCAACUAUUUGAGUGACAAAACUGAUUCCUUGUUGCUCAACUGACUUUCCUCCAUCAAUAUGAAUCACC